rnacentral:rRNA from 1 species
AUGGUGGGGAGACGAAUCAAACUGGGUGCUGGUGACCUUACCAGGGUGUGGAAAGACCCUAUAAAUGGGCUUCCUCCGCUCAAUUUGAUAUUCCCACAACUAUUUGAAAUAUGUACAGAUCACGACUGCACAGGGAAGAGAUUUGGCAGUGUUGUAAUGUCAACCUUUUUUAGGCGUCGUCCUUGCCCUGGUUUGAAGGAGCAAUGGGACAAGAUGCGUGAGCAAGUCGCAGGGCUUAAUAUCUCUACUGAUAGAGAUACAGUUUAUUGGGGGCUUAGUAAGAAUGCUAGGUACUUUACUAAAUCUAUGUAUAAGUGGCUGGAAAAACCUCUCAGUGGUUGCAACUAUAAGUGGAUCUGGGAAGCAAAGCUUCCACUUAAAAUUCAGGUAUUCUUGUGGCAAAUG